CCUACGGGUGGCUGCAGUGGGGAAUAUUGGACAAUGGGGGGAACCCUGAUCCAGCGACGCCGCGUGAGUGAAGAAGUAUUUAGGUAUGUAAAGCUCUAUCAGCAGGGAAGAAAAUGACGGUACCUGACUAAGAAGCCCCGGCUAACUACGUGCCAGUAGCCGCGGUAAUACGUAGGGGGCAAGCGUUAUCCGGAUUUACUGGGUGUAAAGGGAGCGUAGGCGGUGCAGAAAGUCUGAUGUGAAAGGUCGGGGCCCAACCCCGGGAUUGCAUGGGAAACUGUUGAACUGGAGUAUAGGAGAGGUAAGCGGAAUUCGUAGUGUAGCGGUGAGAUGCGUAGAUAUUAGGAGGAACACCAGUGGCGACAGCGGCUUACUGUACUGUAACUGACGUGGAGGCUCGAAAGCGUGGGGAGCAAACAGGAUUAGAUACCGUAGUC
rnacentral:rRNA from 1 species